rnacentral:rRNA from 1 species
GAGCUGAAGCCAGUCGAAGAUACCAGCUGGCUGCAACUGUUUAUUAAAAACACAGCACUGUGCAAACACGAAAGUGGACGUAUACGGUGUGACGCCUGCCCGGUGCUGGAAGGUUAAUUGAUGGGGUUAGCCGUAAGGCGAAGCUCCUGAUCGAAGCCCCAGUAAACGGCGGCCGUAACUAUAACGGUCCUAAGGUAGCGAAAUUCCUUGUCGGGUAAGUUCCGACCUGCACGAAUGGCGUAAUGAUGGCCAGGCUGUCUCCACCCGAGACUCAGUGAAAUUGAACUCGCUGUGAAGAUGCAGUGUACCCGCGGCAAGACGGAAAGACCCCGUGAACCUUUACUAUAGCUUGACACUGAACAUUGAGCCUUGAUGUGUAGGAUAGGUGGGAGGCUUUGAAGUGUGGACGCCAGUCUGCAUGGAGCCAACCUUGAAAUACCACCCUUUAACGUUUGAUGUUCUAACCUAGGCCCAUAAACUGGGUCGGGGACCGUGUCUGGUGGGUAGUUUGACUGGGGCGGUCUCCUCCUAAAGAGUAACGGAGGAGCACGAAGGUUGGCUAAGCAUGGUCGGACAUCAUGCGGUUAGUGCAAAGGCAUAAGCCAGCUUGACUGCGAGAGUGACGGCUCGAGCAGGUACGAAAGUAGGUCUUAGUGAUCCGGUGGUUCUGAAUGGAAGGGCCAUCGCUCAACGGAUAAAAGGUACUCCGGGGAUAACAGGCUGAUACCGCCCAAGAGUUCAUAUCGACGGCGGUGUUUGGCACCUCGAUGUCGGCUCAUCACAUCCUGGGGCUGAAGUAGGUCCCAAGGGUAUGGCUGUUCGCCAUUUAAAGUGGUACGCGAGCUGGGUUUAGAACGUCGUGAGACAGUUCGGUCCCUAUCUGCCGUGGGCGUUGGAAGAUUGAGAGGGGUUGCUCCUAGUACGAGAGGACCGGAGUGAACGCACCACUGGUGUUCGGGUUGUCAUGCCAAUGGCAUUGCCCGGUAGCUAAGUGCGGAAGAGAUAACCGCUGAAAGCAUCUAAGCGGGAAACUUGCCUCGAGAUGAGUCUUCCCUGUCGCUUUAAG